rnacentral:rRNA from 1 species
UACGUAGGGUGCAAGCGUUGUCCGGAAUUAUUGGGCGUAAAGAGCUCGUAGGCGGUCUGUCGCGUCGGCUGUGAAAACCCGGAGCUCAACUCCGGGCCUGCAGUCGAUACGGGCAGACUGGAGUUCGGCAGGGGAGACUGGAAUUCCUGGUGUAGCGGUGAAAUGCGCAGAUAUCAGGAGGAACACCGAUGGCGAAGGCGGGUCUCUGGGCCGAUACUGACGCUGAGGAGCGAAAGCGUGGGGAGCGAACAGG